UUUUUCCCUUCGUCUUCUUCUUCGUAAACAAUCAGAUUUCUUCUCUUUCUUCUCCACGACGAGCUCCUUCAACGAUGGACUGCAAUAAUCCUCAACCGAAAUGAUUGAACCGAACCCAAUCUUCGACCCGUUAACUCUCUCCCGUCACCGGCGACAGAUUCUCGCUCCUCUCUUCUCCACCGCCUCCGCCAAUCUCCUCUCUACCAUUGAACGGCGAUGUCACCAAGAGCUCUUUCAGUUUACCCCUAGCAGCACGGUGGUUCUCCCUCUAAUUUUCCCCGGAGUUUCCAUCAGAUUCCGGCGAAUCCUUAAGGAUCUGACGGAGAUUGCGUCUGCGACUGUCCGAGCUCUUUUCGAACAACAUCCGCAGGGUUUUGCGUCGCCGGAGAUUAAAUACAGGGCUCUUCUUCUGACUCAUCGUAGGGUUCCCGGCGGUAGAGGAUGCCUCUAAGCUGCGAUGUGCGGAAUCUAAAUACUCCCUGGCAUUUAAUUCCACUUUAUUUUGUGUUUGACUAAUUGGCUCAGUUGCACUGAAAGGGUACCGGAAGGAAGAAUGACAGCUAAACAACUUUGAGUUCCCAAAGAAGAAAGAGUGAAAUCUCGUUCCAAAAAAAGAGACAGACAAAUCAAACUAGGCUUAUCGAUUGACAGAAUAAUACGUAUAUAAGAAGAAGGCCGCUUUGUGGAGUGAGCUUUCUCUCUAACCUACAACUCUCACUACCAGGUACAAGAAAGAGUUGAUUGCCCCAAAAGAGGGAAAGAGGACCGAAGGAACAACCUAAGAGACCCUACGCCCCAUAGAAACUGUCUACCUGAGAAAUUUGUGUAUCUUUGGUGCUAUAUCAACGAGAAGGGUGAGAAGGUUUACACCACUAAGAUUCAAGGAAGGCAAGUGCGUCAGUAAUCAGAUACAAUGUUAGCUUUGUUCAAUUUCCAUUCAUUCCUGACGGUGGUGCUGCUUCUGAUCUGCACUUGCACUUAUCUGAAGAUGCAGUUCCCUGCUAUUUUGGAGUAGAAAACUGGGUUAGUACAAUCCAUGUUAUAAAGGGUGAAAAAGGUUAUCCCUUCCACUCACCUCUCAUUUAUUUUGGUCAACUAAGAAAAUGCAUCAUCAACAUGUCAUCAAGCGGUAAUUGAUUCAUAUCUUCAUUUAUAUUCUCAACUCCACUACUUGAAACGGAAAUUGGACUAAACCAUUCUCACUCCACAUUUUGUCGUUUAGCUUUUCUAUAGGACUACUAUAAAUCCUAUCGCACCACCCACAAACACGAGNCACGAAUUCAUCCUUCCACCUUGAUUAAAAAAAAACUGAAACUUUAUAUUUUGAGAAAAUGUCUUACGUUGAUGUUGUUGCCAUUCCUGCUGAGCCAAACCAUGUUAGCUUUGUUGGCCGUCUACUUCGGUUUUGGGAUAGUAAUCAUCUGGGAUCAGCACUUCAGCAGAAGCCCAACUACAUCUCUACUACGUGUCGUUGAGUUACAACAAAUACACAAAUUAUUUUUUUC